ACCCCUACCCCUCCCCUUCUAUAUAGGUGUUCCCCUCCCCAUCCUCCCCCCAUUGCCGCCCUCCUCCCACCAGUCUAGUUCACUGGGGGUUCAGUCUUAGCAGGACCCAGGGCUUCCCCUUCCACUGCUGCUCUUACUAGGAUAUUCAAUGCUACCUAUGAGGUCAGAGUCCAGGGUCAGUCCAUGUAUAGUCUUUGGGUAGUGGCUUAGUCCCUGGAAGCUCUGGUUGGUUGGCAUUGUUGUUCAUAUGGGGUCUAGAGCACCUUCAAGCUCUUUCAGUCCUUUCUCUGAUUCCUUCAACGGGGGUCCCGUUCUCAGUUCAGUGGUUUGCUGCUGGCAUUCACCUAUGUAUUUGCUGUAUUCUGGCUGUGUCUCUCAGGAGAGAUCUACAUCCAGUUCCUGUCAGCCUGCACUUCUUUGCUUCAUCCAUCUUAUCUAGUUUGGUGGCUGUAUAUGUAUGGGCCACAUGUGGGGCAGGCUCUGAAUGGGCGUUCCUUCAGC
rnacentral:lncRNA from 1 species